rnacentral:rRNA from 1 species
AACGAACGCUGGCGGCAUGCCUAACACAUGCGAGUCGAACGAGACCUUCGGGUCUAGUGGCGCACGGGUGCGUAACGCGUGGGAACCUGCCCUUAGGUUCGGAAUAACUCCCCGAAAGGGGUGCUAAUACCGGAUAAUGUCUUCGGACCAAAGAUUUAUCGCCUUUGGAUGGGCCCGCGUUGGAUUAGCUAGUUGGUAGGGUAAAAGCCUACCAAGGCGACGAUCCAUAGCUGGUCUGAGAGGAUGAUCAGCCACACUGGGACUGAGACACGGCCCAGACUCCUACGGGAGGCAGCAGUGGGGAAUAUUGGACAAUGGGCGAAAGCCUGAUCCAGCAAUGCCGCGUGAGUGGUGAAGGCCUUAGGGUUGUAAAGCUCUUUUACCCGGGAUGAUAAUGACAGUACCGGGAGAAUAAGCGCCGGCUAACUCCGUG